rnacentral:rRNA from 1 species
AANGAAACUAMCAAGGAUUCCCCUAGUAACGGCGAGUGAAGCGGGAAGAGCACAAAUUUAAAAUCUACCUGGUUUCCAGGUCGAGUUGUAAUUUGAAGAUACGUUUUUGAYGUUCCGGGUUGGACUAAAUCCUUUGGGAUAAGGUAUCAUAGAGGGUGAGAAUCCCGUAUAUACCAACCGUAGGGAUGUUAUUAAAUACGUUUCUAAGAGUCGAGUUGUUUGGGAAUGCAGCUCUAAAUGGGUGGUAAAUUUCACCUAAUGCUAAAUAUAAGCGAGAGACCGAUAGCGAACAAGUACAGUGAUGGAAAGAUGAAAAGAACUUUGAAAAGAGAGUUAAAUAGUACGUGAAAUUGUUGAAAGGGAAACGAUUGAAGUCAGUCAUGCCGGUGGGAAUCAACUUAGGGGAAACUCUGGGUGCACUUCUUCGCUUGGCAGGUCAACGUCGAUUUUGRAUGUCAUAAAAUAAUUGGGGGAAGGUAGCUCCUUCGGGAGUGUUAUAGCCCUUGGUAGAUGUGAUGUUUGGGGUCGAGGAUUGCAACGGAUACCCUUCGGGGCUARCCGCCUGAUCUCUAAUUGGUGUUGGGUUACGGAUAGCAUGCUGACCGUGAUCUAAUUACUGGUUAAAAGGUU